rnacentral:tRNA from 1 species
GCCUGGCUGGCUCUGUCGGUAGAGCACAAAACUCUUGAUCUUAGGGUCCUGGGUUCAAGCCCCAUGCUGGGCA